AUUCCAGACUGGAAAGACUUAGAUUUCUAAAUAUCUUACAAACAGUUAACUUAAUUUAAAUGUGACCUGGUUACCAGCUACUAAUAUUUUAAACAAUGAUACAGUUCCUGGAGUAAUGUAAAUCAAAGGUACCAGGCACUCUGUUCCAUAAACAGGGUAUUAUAAACAGUAUAUUAUCUCUUGAUAAUACCAACAAUAAAAUCAUCAAACGAACCCGCAGGUGUCAUGUGCUUAUUAAAGAAUCCGUCAGGAUACACAAUUGACCCCUGUUACAAAAUGGCGCCCAUGUAGGGACUGGUGAUACUUGGACUGGUUCGACUGUGAUAAUUCUGGGACAUCGAGGGAGAACGGACAAUUAUUGAACUGAAAACUUCUUCGAUAUUAUAGAUUGCCAUAUAUGCAAGUAUUUAGUUAU